CUGGCGGCAGGCUUAACACAUGCAAGUUGAACGGGAUUUGGUGGUAGCUUGCUAUCAUUAAUGAGAGUAGCGCACUGGUGAGUAACACGUGGGAACAUGCCUUUUGGUGGGGGACAACAGUUGGAAACGACUGCUAAUACCGCAUAAGCCCGGAAGGGGAAAGAUUUAUUGCCGAAAGAUUGGCCCGCGGAAGAUUAGGUAGUUGGUGGGGUAAAGGCCUACCAAGCCGACGAUCUAUAGCUGGUCUGAGAGGACGAACAGCCACAUUGGAACUGAGACACGGUCCAGACUCCUACGGGAGGCAGCAGUGAGGAAUAUUGGGCAAUGGAGGAAACUUCCUGACCCAGCCAUGCCGCGUGAGUGAAGAAGGUUUUCGAAUUGUAAAGCUCUUUCGGGUGUGACGAUGAUGACGGUAACACCUAAAGAAGCCCCGGCAAACUUCGUGCCAGCCGCCGC
rnacentral:rRNA from 1 species